UACGGAGGAUCCGAGCGUUAUCCGGAUUUAUUGGGUUUAAAGGGUGCGUAGGCGGCCUGUUAAGUCAGGGGUGAAAGACGGUAGCUCAACUAUCGCAGUGCCUUUGAUACUGAUGGGCUUGAAUGUACUUGAGGUAGGCGGAAUGUGACAAGUAGCGGUGAAAUGCAUAGAUAUGUCACAGAACACCAAUUGCGAAGGCAGCUUACUAAAGUAUGAUUGACGCUGAGGCACGAAAGCGUGGGGAUCAAACAGG
rnacentral:rRNA from 1 species